rnacentral:rRNA from 1 species
CGCGUAGGUGGUUCAGUAAGUUAGGAGUGAAAGCCCCGGGCUUAACCUGGGAAUUGCUUCUAAAACUGCUGAGCUAGAGUACGGUAGAGGGUGGUGGAAUUUCCUGUGUAGCGGUGAAAUGCGUAGAUAUAGGAAGGAACAUCAGUGGCGAAGGCGACCACCUGGACUGAUACUGACACUGAGGUGCGAAAGCGUGGGGAGCAAACA